GGAAAUUUGUUGGUCAGUCUGUGAGGUAAGCCUUUAUAACAUCUGAUGAAUCCAGCUGGAGACAUUCUGAAUGAUGGAGCUGCUGUUAGCAAAACACUGUUUACUUAUAUUUUUCUAAUAUUCUGCUGGGGGUGGUGGUGCAGUCUUCAGAAGCCUGACUUUUUCAGUGAACUAAUAUAGUUCAGAAAUGAAUCUUGGAAGGUGUAACUCACAAAAAACCAGUACAACUUCUGGUACAGCUGUUUCCUCUUGACUGAGAGCCUGUUUUACUCCACAGAUAUCUUUUUAGGUGACUGACCUGCAGGUAGACUUAAGACUGGUAGAGAGUUCUAAGACAGAAGACAACAGCUUACAAAGAUGAACCCUAAAAAAACCCCCAGUGAUAAUCAGAUGCAGCAGUCCAAACUGAAGAGGUGGAACCUAUUCUUCCUUAGAAAUUUGGAUCCCUGAAAAAUCAGUGGUGGCAAGAAGAAAAAAAUCUGAAAUGAAACUUCUUGAUCACUUCUUCCCAGCUGGCUCACUGUUCACAGGUUGAAAGGGCUACAAACGUACCGCUGGACUAAGCACCCCUGGCACUGUUUUUGGCAGCUGGUGGGGGAUGAGCCACCUCCACCCACAGUAUUACCCUGUCUCUCCCCGCAGUGCAGAGUGGCUGCAGGCAAACAGCCAGCUGGGAAUGGUCUCCGGGCUCUGCUAACUCCCAAACUACACCUGUGGACUGUGAUAUUAGGAUGUGCCAAAGGCUUGCCAGAAAACUGUUCUAAUAAAAUAACGAUACAGAUGAUCAAGUUUUGGGAACUAGGAACAUACCUUGGCACCGUAAUAGGUACACUACAGUAGAUACAGCCAAGCAGCCCAUGUUCUGGAUGAAAAGCUCUGUAUUUUCAGCCUACAGCAACUGUUUUCUGGUGUCUCAGACACCUUUGCUUUGGAUUUCUAAGGCAUGGUAGAAGCUGCCGUAUCAACAUACCACAUAGCUAGUUAGAUAUCUUGUCUGUGUUGGACAUUCCUGGUUGGUAACUUACCCUCCAUUUAAUCUUUCUCCGUUUCAUCUAGUUUUAACCAUAGCCAAAAGCAAUGCUUGCAGUCCACGAGGAGUUUAAAUUAUACUGCUGAUACUGAAAUUACACUGUUCAUGCUUUAAAUUAUGCUUCCAACUUGGACGUUACCUUUCCUUACUACAUCAGGAUCAAACCCACAGGGCUUUUCCUUUCUGCAUUUGGUCAUUGGGUGAAAAUACUUUCCUUCUGCCUGACCCACGCAAUCUGCUGCAGUGGGCAGAACGGUGCGAUCGUCUGUCAGAGUGCAGAGCCCAAGUGACGCCUUCUUGAGUUGUUUUUACUGUACUGAAGCUGCCACUGUUCCUGUGCUCUCAGCACCAUGUGACAAGAAUUAUGUUGUGUUUGACAAAUUCUGCCUCUUGUAAAUUACCUUGUGCACCUAAAUGAUACAUAAGUAAGGCCUAAUAAUAGCAAGAGCAAAAGCUGCUCCAAAACGCUUCCAUGCAUCAUUCAUAAGAGUAACAGAGCUCACUGUUCAGUUCUGCUCUUGAUCUUGAAGUUACUUCUUACCGGGUGUUUUUUACUAGUCUGACUAACAGUGCACGCAGAGAUCUACAUGCUCAUUAGGAAUUCAUGCUUGAUGUAUGCUCAAUCUCACGUUUGUUAAUGAACUCCACUGGUGCCCCUUGUCUCUUGCCCUCCAUCCCUCACCCUGCUGACAGUUACUCGCAGGACGCUUCCACCAGAACUCGUGGGCCACGGUGCAAACUGAGAGCUGCCAACCUGACCGCAUUUAUGGAUUUUGAGAGUGGGAGAAAUCCCUGCAAAUGUCAUUUUAGUUUCUAUUGCCCUGGUAGAUUAGUUUUCUAAUGCAUCUGUAAAUGGGUGUAUCAUUUACGUUAAUUUAUUACCUACAACUCUCUAGUAUGUUUAUAUGAAAGCCACAAAUGUACUUUAAUGUGGAUGUGAAACGCUUAAUGGUAGCAUUACCUAAAUGAGCAUCAUUACCAAAUGAUAGGGUUUUUUUAAAGUUAGUUUAUUUAUUUAUUAUUUAUUUUUCCCUUUUACAUGAUUGAAUUUUCUUUUGCAGUUAUUUAAGAAUGAAACCUUUGAAGUUUCUAUGGGUUCAGUCCUUUGAUUUGAUGGGGUUGCAGCAUGGCUGCCCCACUGCUCUAUGAAGGAAGACCAGUACCUAUUUUCUGCCCUGGUAGCUGGAAAGGAAUUAGUUGACCCUGUGCGACUUUCCCUUCCAUCACCCAAUUUCCAGAUUACUCUGUGGUGUAAUCUGGAAAUCGAAGAUAACUGUUUAUGAUUCUUGACUUGUCCAUGCAGCCUAGGAACCAUUUUAAACUUCUGGGUAUUUCUUUAUGAAUAUCAUUGGCAGAGCUGGUCUUCAGAGCUGCAGAACAGCUUGAUAGUCACUUCACAGGCAGCGGUUGUGGGGUGUUUUCUGCAUCUGUUUCUCACCUGCCAACAUCUACUUGAUCAACCUUGGGAGCAAAAAUAGUCUUUCAGUUCGAGUGUGCAUUGUGCACCAUUGAGCUAGCCACGCUACCACAUCCUUACGACAGAAAAUGAUUUGCAUGUUUGCGCAUAGUGGAGCUGACGUAUCUUUUUCUGCUUUUGUGUUGUAAUUCUGAGGGUGCACAACCCUCAUGAGCUGCAACCACCUCACCUCUUCCUGCCAGAGAAGCCAUUCAUUGUGUUUCCUUUAACAACUACUGUGUUGCUGAGGAGGUAAGUGCUGUCUCUCAGCUGCCCUGCAGUGGGACAAAGCUGAUUUUCCUAGGUAGCUUCACCAAACAAGUGCUUGAACACCAAAGUACUAUCAAAAUUAGUGCAACUGUCACAUGCGUUGAUGGUCUUGGCACAGAGGCUAAGGACUGAAAAGGUCUGGAAGCAGAAGUUGAAGCCAAACUUCCAGAGGAAUGGUGAGUAUGAAGGGCUAAUUACAUAGACAGGAUAUGUGUCUAGAUUGGAGGCGAGGAGUCCAUUUUUUGCCUGUCGUUUUUGUGUCAGUCACUGUUUUCACUCAUUUUUCCAGUUGUUCUGGGGAAGUCACUCUUUCGCCACACACUGUACACUUUUAGUCAGGCAAGGACCAACCUGGGUCUGGAAAAAAGCUGUCAGGGCCUUACCCCCCUCAGCCCAUGCCCAGCUGGUGCGUUGUCCCUUCUCAUGGUGUAGGAAACAAUUGCUCUGCUAGGCUGCAGGGUCCCUGCCCAUUUGCAGCAGGGUUGUAUUCAUCCCACGUUCUUCCAGUUUGGCAGAGCAAAUCCAGUUCUUUCCUCUCCUCACCAUGGUAGAACAUACCAGUUGUGAUGCUUAGGUUUUUUUGCAAAUCACCUGUGGUGGAAAAGCAAGGCUGUUUCCAAGAAAGUGAAGCAGACAAACAAAAAUAGAUAAUCUGUCCUUCAGGUGAGCUUUCUUUGCAGUACAGUGUGCUAGCUAUUGGAGCCUUGUGGAGAAGAAUGGUAUGAAUUGCAUGGUCAGGGACUUAAUUCUUAGAAAUGAAUCAUUGCUGUCAGAGUUUCUAUGGGAACGGAGAAAUAAAUUAAUAUUUAGGCUAUUUUCAAAUUAAUUCUGUCAGAAGAUCCAAAGGUUGUGCAAUGGCUAGAAGUAUACAAAGAAAUAAACCAUUAUAUUAUUUAGAUUUCGCUAGUUACUGUUACUGUUUUGGUUUUUUUUUUUUAAAAGUAUGUUUUAUACAACUUAGUCACAAAACAUUUAAACUUAGCAGAAGACAAACAGGACAUUUGGCUGUAAGUUCAGAACAAUGAACUCAUAAGGUUUAUUUUUAUAUGCAAGUUCAACUUGGGUGCAUGCCAUGUAACACAAAAAACCAGUUACCACUUAAUGCUUUUUUUUCUCACUUGAAGUGAUGAGGGCAUCUGGAUCCCAUUUUAAAUUGCAAACUAGGCUUUUUAGCUUUUUAAAACAAUUUGCAUAGCUUGAACUAAUUAACGCUUUGCUUGAUGUGUAGGCAGUAAAAGACAACAUGACCCCAAGCAUGAGAGAGGUGAAGGAGAAUUGCAUGAAUUUUGGCAUUUCCUAACUUUUGAGAGCUUGAAUUGCCUACCCGAACACUUCAAUGUAAGCAGGGCAUACGCGCAGCGGAUGUCAUGCAGUAAUACCUGGAGACCCCUAGGAUAAGCUACGCAGGUUUCCCAGCAUCACAAAUAAAUGUUCACAGAGCCUAAAUACGCAGCCUAAUGUUCUGUUACCUUGAGCAAAGCCAACAGCCUCAGCCAGAUGCAUCUGUCCCUCGUGAGUUGAGAGCUGUUCGCUGCAGUCCCUGAAGCACGUGUGAGCUCCUGACGCCAGAGGCCCAAUUUCUGUGAUCUGCAGUAUUUCUGCUGAUACUGGGCUGAUGUCCCUCAGCUCCAGCUGGCUGGACCAGCAUCGGCCAGUGCCCAACCAGUUUCCUCUCAGGUUUUGGAGUGAUGGUGUCCUCUCUCCAAUGAAACUCAAAUCUCUGCAAGCAACCCCCUGGUUAUGUUCAAGAAUGACACUACUCCAGCCCAAAUGAAAUGCGGCGUCUUAUGGCUGAACUACCAUCGAAGUGGGUGCUGCAGGGAAUCAGAAGCCCGCAGUCGUAUGAAAUAGUGGAAAUCAGGAGGAACAGAGAAUUUCUCCUCAAGACAAAUCCAGUUUGCAUGAAAAUGAGGAAACCUGAACUAUACCCUUCCAAAUCCUAUUGUCAGAUGCGUAUUCCUGAAAGAGAUGGCUCGGAUUAGAUUUUGCCCAGGUUACAGCACUUUGCAGCACAGUGGUGAGGAUGGUUGGAGGAGGGAUUGCCUGGCUAGAGUGCAGUGCUACAGACUAGGGAGGCGUUUCUGCAGAGCUCUGCAGGAACUCAGUGCUCGAUGAAACAUUUUGGUUUCAUGAUACAGCUUGUUCUGCCAAAAGCAUUCUGACUUGAUCGUGCUACCCUUCAACCUUCUGCAGCCUGCAAUUCUCCACAGACAGCUUGGCUACAAUUAGGGCUUUUUUCAGAAGAUGGCAAAAUGCAUACCCUGGAUCCCAAGAACCGGGGAAUGACUGUCGCUUGGAGAAAAUGUUGCUGGAGUUUUUUAA